AGAAACAGGCAGCCUGACUAGAGAACAAACUACCAAUUAACGAGCGAGGAAACAGGGCCAGAGAAUUGGAACAAAAUACAAGGCUGCCUCUGAAAGGAAUAUCUUUGUGCUGAUGUGUCCAUCAAGAGAACAUACACAGAAGUGACACUUGCCAGUAAUUUGCAAGCAGAUGGAACUUCAAUAUGGCAAUAGAGAAAGAAUCAAUUAGACCAGAGUCUCCUCAGGAAGACUUUCUAUAGCGUAAUUAUCUCUCCAAUUAAAGAGCAACCAAGGGACAACUGAACUGGAGGUUCUGCAGAAUUACAACUAAGCACGCAGCCGAGGAAUCUACUCAGCUUUGAUCUCUUAUCGCUCUGCACACACAGCCCUUUCUCUGUAAGGCUAGCUGCUCUCAGCAUCACUGUGUCUAAUCAAACGUGUCACACCUCCACUGAGAAAAUAUUUACUGGAUAGCUACUAGACAUAAGGAUGCAGAAAUGAAUUAGAAAAAUUCCUCGCCCUUGUUCAAAGCUAUGCUGGCUCUUAGAACAUCUGAGCCCCCACUGUUUCAUCUUUAGAGGAUCCCAGCUGCUGGGGUGUGAGGCCAGUGCUGGAGCCAGCAGUCUCUGACCCAGAAGGGACCUGAGGUGCUAAAGAAAAUUCUGGAGGCUGAGAAGUCCAAAACCAAGUCACCAGCAGAUUCAGCGUCUGCAGGCUUGCUUUGCCUAUUCAUACUUAUUACCUAAUAAAUGCAAAAUGGUUGCUGAAGCUCCAGAUGCCACAUCUGUGUCCAAGGGGGGUACAAGCUGGAAAAGGGGAAAAUGAAUCAUGCUACAGGCCAAGUGUCCAUCACUGAUUCCCAGAGAUGCCCUUUGUGUGGUAGGCACUUCCAUGUGGACUCGCUACAGAGGUCAUAAGACCCUAAUUCCAGAGGGCCCUACCCUAUAACCAGAAGGAAGAACUAUUGCACAGAGAAUCUAAGAAGAAUCUAGACAGACAGCCCUUGCUGGAUUUCUCCACUCUGUUAGCAUUCGAUCAUUUGCCUUUUGUCCAGUCAUAUUUCUGCAUGGCUGUCCAUACUUUGUUGAACCUAAGCACAAAAUGGAAAGUUUUCCCUGUAUCUUUGGGUCGUCAUUCUGAAGGCUCCCAUGUUAUGUAAAACUAUGAUCAAAUAAAUAUGCAUGCCUUUUCUCCUAUAA
ensembl:lncRNA LINC01643 long intergenic non-protein coding RNA 1643